rnacentral:rRNA from 1 species
UGCUUCCAGGAAAAGCCUCUAAGCAUCAGGUAACAUCAAAUCGUACCCCAAACCGACACAGGUGGUCAGGUAGAGAAUACCAAGGCGCUUGAGAGAACUCGGGUGAAGGAACUAGGCAAAAUGGUGCCGUAACUUCGGGAGAAGGCACGCUGGUGUGUAGGUGAAGUCCCUGCGGAUGGAGCUGAGACCAGUCGAAGAUACCAGCUGGCUGCAACUGUUUAUUAAAAACACAGCACUGUGCAAACACGAAAGUGGACGUAUACGGUGUGACGCCUGCCCGGUGCCGGAAGGUUAAUUGAUGGGGUUAUCCGUAAGGAGAAGCUCUUGAUCGAAGCCCCGGUAAACGGCGGCCGUAACUAUAACGGUCCUAAGGUAGCGAAAUUCCUUGUCGGGUAAGUUCCGACCUGCACGAAUGGCGUAAUGAUGGCCAGGCUGUCUCCACCCGAGACUCAGUGAAAUUGAACUCGCUGUGAAGAUGCAGUGUACCCGCGGCAAGACGGAAAGACCCCGUGAACCUUUACUAUAGCUUGACACUGAACAUUGAGCCUUGAUGUGUAGGAUAGGUGGGAGGCUUUGAAGCGUGGACGCCAGUCUGCGUGGAGCCAACCUUGAAAUACCACCCUUUAAUGUUUGAUGUUCUAACGUUGGCCCCUGACCGGGGUUGCGGACAGUGUCUGGUGGGUAGUUUGACUGGGGCGGUCUCCUCCCAAAGCGUAACGGAGGAGCACGAAGGUUAGCUAAUCCUGGUCGGACAUCAGGAGGUUAGUGCAAUGGCAUAAGCUAGCUUGACUGCGAGCGUGACGGCGCGAGCAGGUGCGAAAGCAGGUCAUAGUGAUCCGGUGGUUCUGAAUGGAAGGGCCAUCGCUCAACGGAUAAAAGGUACUCCGGGGAUAACAGGCUGAUACCGCCCAAGAGUUCAUAUCGACGGCGGUGUUUGGCACCUCGAUGUCGGCUCAUCACAUCCUGGGGCUGAAGUAGGUCCCAAGGGUAUGGCUGUUCGCCAUUUAAAGUGGUACGCGAGCUGGGUUUAGAACGUCGUGAGACAGUUCGGUCCCUAUCUGCCGUGGGCGCUGGAGAAUUGAGGGGGGCUGCUCCUAGUACGAGAGGACCGGAGUGGACGCAUCACUGGUGUUCGGGUUGUCAUGCCAAUGGCACUGCCCGGUAGCUAAAUGCGGAAGAGAUAAGUGCUGAAAGCAUCUAAGCACGAAACUUGCCCCGAGAUGAGUUCUCCCUGAGACUUUAAGUCUCCUGAAGGAACGUUAAAGACGAUGACGUUGAUAGGCCGGGUGUGUAAGCGCAGCGAUGCGUUGAGCUAACCGGUACUAAUGAACCGUGAGGCUUAACCUUACAACGCCGAAG